UACGAAGGGGGCUAGCGUUGCUCGGAAUCACUGGGCGUAAAGCGCUCGUAGGCGGACUCUUAAGUCGGUGGUGAAAUCCUGGAGCUCAACCACAGAAUUGCCUUCGAUACUGCAUGGCUUGAGACCGGAAGAGGUUAGUGGAACUGCGAGUGUAGAGGUGAAAUUCGUAGAUAUUCGCAAGAACACCAGUGGCGAAGGCGGCUGACUGGUCCGGUUCUGACGCUGAGGCGCGAAAGCGUGGGGAGCAAACAGG
rnacentral:rRNA from 1 species